rnacentral:rRNA from 1 species
CCCUUAGAUGUCCUGGGCCGCACGCGCGCUACACUGACAUGUUCAACAAGCCUCCUAGUUCGACAGGAUUUGGGAAAUCUUUGAACGCAUGUCGUGAUAGGGAUAGAUCAUUGCAAUUAUUGAUCUUGAACGAGGAAUUCCUAGUAAACGCGAGUCAUCAGCUCGCAUUGAUUACGUCCCUGCCCUUUGUACACACCGCCCGUCGCACCUACCGAUUGAAUGUUUCGGUGAAGAUUCCGGAUAGGACUUUUUUGAUUUAUUUCAAUUUUAUCUUAAAAGCUAUCUAAACCUCAACAUUUAGAGGAAGGUGAAGUCGUAACA